rnacentral:tRNA from 1 species
GAGGAUAUAGCUCAAGUGCUAGAGCACAUGCUUAACAUGCAUGAGGUCCUGGGCUCAAUCCUGAGUAUCUCCU